rnacentral:sRNA from 1 species
UAUUCUAAUAUUAGCAGUUUGGUAGGAAGGAAGGCAUGUUUUGUAAAGCAUUGGUUACCUCUGUUCAGUUAUUUACUCCCUUCCCUAAAUUUGUUUAACUUUUUGUCUUAUCCACCUUUAGGAUUGGAGAGGGAGAAAGAAAAACUGCUUUGUGUGCCAAAAGCAAAACUCUUAGUGUUUUUGUUUGUGAAAUAGGCUCCUUCUCCUGAAAAAGCUGAGGAGGAGAGUGAGAGGCUUCUGAGGGAACUCUAUUUGUUUGAUGUUCUCCGCGCAGAUCGAACUACUGCUGCCCAUGGUCUUGAACUGAGAGUCCCAUUUCUAGAUCAUCGAUUUUCUUCCUAUUACUUGUCUCUGCCACCAGAAAUGAGAAUUCCAAAGAAUGGGAUAGAAAAACAUCUCCUGAGAGAGACGUUUGAGGAUUCCAAUCUGAUACCCAAAGAGAUCCUCUGGCGACCAAAAGAAGCCUUCAGUGAUGGAAUAACUUCAGUUAAGAAUUCCUGGUUUAAGAUUUUACAGGAAUAUGUUGAACAUCAGGUUGAUGAUGCAAUGAUGGCAAAUGCAGCCCAGAAAUUUCCCUUCAAUACUCCUAAAACCAAAGAAGGAUAUUACUACCGUCAAGUCUUUGAACGCCAUUACCCAGGCCGGGCUGACUGGCUGAGCCAUUACUGGAUGCCCAAGUGGAUCAAUGC